rnacentral:rRNA from 1 species
UACGGGGGGGGUAAGCGUUGUUCGGAAUUACUGGGCGUAAAGGGCUCGUAGGCGGCCAAUUAAGUCAGACGUGAAAUCCCUCAGCUUAACUGGGGAACUGCGUCUGAUACUGGAUGGCUUGGAUUCGGGAGAGGGAUGUGGAAUUCCAGGUGUAGCGGUGAAAUGCGUAGAUAUCUGGAGGAACACCGGUGGCGAAGGCGGCAUCCUGGACCGGUAUUGACGCUGAGGCGCGAAAGCUAUGGGAGCAAACGGG